GAUGAACGCUGGCGGCGUGCUUAACACAUGCAAGUCGAACGGAAAGGCCCUGAUUUUGUGGGGUGCUCGAGUGGCGAACGGGUGAGUAACACGUGAGUAUCCUGCCCUUGACUUUGGGAUAACUUCAGGUAACUGGGGCUAAUAUCGGAUAGGAGCUCCUGCUGCAUGGUGGGCGUUGGAAAGUUUCGGCGGUCGGGGAUGGACUCGCGGCUUAUCAGCUUGUUGGUGGGGUAGUGGCUUACCCAGGCUGUGACGGGUAGCCGGCCUGUGAGGGUGACCGGCCACAUUGGGACUGAGAUACGGCCCAGACUCCUACGGGAGGCAGCAGUGGGAAAUAUUGCACAAUGGGCGGAAGCCUGAGGCAGCAACGCCGCGUGCGUGAUGACGGCCUUCGGGUUGUAAACCGCUUUCGCCUGUGACGAAGCGUGAGUGACGGUAAUGGGUAAAGAAGCACCGGCUAACUACGUG
rnacentral:rRNA from 1 species